CCCAGGAGGAAGGUGCAAUCCAUUAACGGCUACUCCCCAAUCCCAUUAUCUUCAAUGAUGAGCAGGCAGAGCUGGUUAAUGAGGUUCUCAAAGUCCUGUACAACCUGGUACUUCACAUCGACAAAAACAGCCCAGACGAGGAGGAGGACAGCCACUGCUUGCGUCUUAUCAGCAUCCUACGCUAUCUUCUCCUGGCCUCCACCCGCUGCCCUGAGAAGACAGAUUCCCUGCACAGCAACACGGUCAAACC